rnacentral:rRNA from 1 species
CAGCAGCCGCGGGAAUACGAAGGGUGCAAGCGUUAAUCGGAAUUACCGGGCGUAAAGCGUGCGUAGGCGGUUUGUUAAGUCUGCUGUGAAAUCCCCGGGCUCAACCUGGGAAUUGCAGUGGAUACUGGGUCACUAGAGUGUGGUAGAGGAUAGUGGAAUUUCCGGUGUAGCAGUGAAAUGCGUAGAGAUCGGAAGGAACAUCUGUGGCGAAGGCGACUAUCUGGGCCAACACUGACACUGAGGCACGAAAGCGUGGGGAGCAAACAGGAUUAGAUACCCCUGUAGUCCCUGUCUCUUAUAC